rnacentral:tRNA from 1 species
GAACCUAAAAGCUUAAUUAGCUGAUUUUUAAUUCACAUAAAAUUAAUAUAAUAAUUAAAUUUAAUUAAUUAUAUAAA